UGGCCGGGCGAUCAACCUACCUGCACGGCUGCCGGCGAUCCUGCAAUCACCUUCUGCUCAGCUGUUGCGGAUUCCGCUGAUCAGUAUUUAGACCCGGUUGGAACCUGUCUUCGACGCCAGAUCGUUACAGCUACCAAAGUGACCUACACCACCCGACCUGCUGCCUGAGACUGCUGUUCCGCCAGCCAUUUGCUCCUCAACCCUUCUAUCUCCCUGCUUGGAUUCCUGUGAGAGUUUUUUUGGACACGCCACACUCAGCCCACGCCCGCUGCAGUACUGUUCUCCCCCACCUGCGCAACUACUGUCCCUGGUUGCUUUGUUUUUUCUUUGACGAUCAUUAAAAGACAUUCUAUACGUUUU